CGUGCGAUCAGUCGUGAUAUUUUCGAAUACCCCUCCCCUCUCCCCCCCCCCCCCCCCCCUCGUGAGUCUCACGCGAUUAAGGGAUGCCCCCUUAGUCGCGGCUCGGUUAUAAUCGCUGUACGGCACCAUCGUACCGAGAGGUGAUUGCCACACGGGCCUUUUCAUCCAACAAUCACCGGUCCGACAUGGCCCAUACCCAGCCACUCGGGUUUGACGGCCAAGCUGCGAUCCUUCGACGAGACAUGUGCAUCGGACAAACAUGCUCCUGCUUGAUGGCUGACGGCGAAAUAGGCAUUGGAGUUGGUUCGGCUCCUGGCCGAUAAGUCCGGUCAUUAGAGGCAUCCACCCGGAGUUAGGUUGCGAUAAUCUGUCCUCUGGCUGCCGGUAGGACGUUGUUGACCCGAUCAGUGACCUCUGCCUUGCGAUAUAUGGUUCUCUCGAAGCUAUGUUCUCGGCGGGUGUUCUUGUAGUGCGGUACGAAAG
rnacentral:lncRNA from 1 species